UACAGAGGGGGCAAGCGUUGUUCGGAAUUACUGGGCGUAAAGGGCGCGUAGGCGGCCUUCUAAGUCGAACGUGAAAUCCCUGGGCUCAACCCAGGAACUGCGUCCGAUACUGGAAGGCUUGAAUCCGGGAGAGGGAUGCGGAAUUCCAGGUGUAGCGGUGAAAUGCGUAGAUAUGUGGAGGAACACCGAUGGCGAAGGCAGCCCCCUGGGUCAAGACUGACGCUCAUGCACGAAAGCGUGGGGAGCAAACAGG
rnacentral:rRNA from 1 species